GGGGACAGAUGGGUUCUGGUGUGCCUUCUGAUCUUCAAAAUCAGUACGGGGGGUUAAGAGCUUCCUGGGUGGGUUCGAUUCCCACGUGUCCCCGCCA
rnacentral:tRNA from 1 species